UUUGAAAGCAAAUAACAGGAAAUCUUACAUUCGAUAUGACGGGGUUGCUUUUGAAAUGGAACGCUUUUAGCAAAAUAGGUCAUAGUUCGCCGGGCUUCGUCACAUGUAUUAUAAAGACUUCGUUUCAGAUCUAUUCUCAUAUCUGUUCGCGCUUCUAAAAGUAUUGACGUUGUCAUUGUAGUGGAUUGAAACCCAAGCACCUGUUCAUAGCAAGCCACGCGCAUAUAUUUUGAUUCAACGUCAACUAAUUUGAAAAAGAAAGAAAGCUCAGCUGAGUUUUGAACUUUGUGUAAUUAUCAGUGAAGAAGAAUGCAGAAAGCUUUUAUAUCUAAACAACCAUCGCGUUCAUUUCACGAGGGAAUACGAACUCAACCACAUACGACCUUUGCAAACUGCUACUCAAGGUCAUCAGCCAACUGCGACUUUUUGUCUUGUUUGGACUUGGUGGAUGAUGCUUUGCUUACGAACAUGGUUGAAAAACUCGAACUGCAAUCGCUGCACACUCUUCCAGACCUAUCUCUACUGUUUCGCCGGAGACGUAUGUUACAACAGAGCGGGAACGCGUCUAAACGGACAUAAUCAUGUCAUUGCCUGGAUUUUGAAACAUCUCACUUACAGAGCAUCAGCUCAACUUUAAUCCAUGGAUUAUCGAUGACGACUUCUAUUGGGGCAAAAUAGAACGAGAGAAAUAACGUACUAUUUGGAGUUUAGCAUGUAAACGAAGAUUUUGCGUAAAUACUACCACAUACAAACCACUUCAACGUACUUUUUCGUACGUCAUUGACAAUUGAUAGAACAUUCGCAAUUGAUAGAAAGAAUUAACCGACGACUGUUUUGGCUGUUUUAGAACUGAAUUCGGCUGCUUUAGAAGAAUAUUAAUGAACGACAGUUAGACUAGCUUCACUAACGUGUUUCAUUGAACUGUACAUAUGUAAUAUUACUUUAUUAGAGAGAUUUACGUACUGGAGUAUAAAUUUAUUCCAUACAAAUCAA